rnacentral:rRNA from 1 species
UNAUUUUUUCAUGCAUCAAAGCUCGUUAAGACUAGAUGGGGUAUCCCUACAUAGCGGGUGGGACCCACGGCGAAUGGUUCAUCAAGUCUUCAAAAAAGNAUAUAUACGAUUGCAUUGCAUAUACUAACGGAUGCGAUCAUACCAGCACUUAUGCACCGGAUCCCAUCAGAACUCCGCAGUUAAGCGUGCUUGGGCGAGAGUAGUACUAGGAUGGGUGACCUCCCGGGAAGUCCUCGUGUUGCAUCCCUCUUUUAUGUUUAACCUUUUUUUUUUUGGUUAAAACUUUAUGACUCCAUAACUUUACCGAU